rnacentral:lncRNA from 1 species
UCAUUCAGACUUUAUGAAGCAAGAGUGGUAACAUAUGCAUUGCCAUAAACUUCAUUUUUUAUGUAUAAUUUAUUUUCAUUCUUUUAUCCACUAAAAUACAUACAACUUUCAUGCCUUUUCCUGGUACUACAAGAUGGCUCUUCUGUUGGUUUGUUUGUCUCUAUAACCGGCAACCACACCGUUACUUCCAUUUCUUGGAUUUUAGCUCUCGUAAAUAACUUUGUUGGUACGACAAUUAUCCCCAACCAUUCAUAUUAAGUUUUCGAAAGUCCAACAUGAAAGCAACUUCUAGGUUUGGUGGCUUAAGAUAUUUAAUUAUAAUUAAACGCUGAUAAAUAUAAAGAAGUUAUUUCUAAAAAUUUGUGCUUAAGAAAUUCUUUUUUUUUAUGAAAUUAAAAAGAGUAUGAAAUAAUAUUUUUAUUGAUCCCGUAAAUCAGUUUAAUUGAUAGUCGUGCAGAGAUAUCAGAUGCAGUGAUACAGAUUCGAAUAUGCGACAUCCUAUUUAUUUAAAUAAUAAAAUUUCGAAUUUUAUUCAUGUGGACACUAAUCUUUGUGCUCCUACUUCAAAUAUAUAGGUAAUUAAGAUAGAUACAUAUAUAGAAGCAGUAAACGAGCUAUCCGUCCCGUUUAAACCCG